UGAAAGGUGCGCUCUGCGGCGCCAAUACCCUCCCUCGACGCUCUCCUCGUAUCUUUCUUUUAUUCUACCGACAUAUUUGUGUUUGCUUGAGGGGGAGGGGAGGGUGUUGUCUCCCCCUGCGCAUCUCCGUGUUCCAUUCAACCGCCACUCUCCUCUCCGCCCGGGCAUCUUGCUCAGCUCUUCACAUCCUAUUCUGCUGCACUUGAGUGGCGCAUACGUUUUUUUUUUCUUCUCCAUUGUCGAAGGAAACUGAGGCGCGCCUCAGGUCGCUACCGCUAGCCCUCGACUUUACGCGAGACGUUUCACAAACGCGGAGGAGGCGCGAGCAACACCUACAAGCAACGCCUCCAGCUGCCCAGCCACGCAACGUCUGUUUGCUUUUUGUCUUCCCCGUUUUACUUACCCUUUUUCGUUGGCUACUUUCUGUCUUUCGGUUACCUGAUCAAGUCAUCUCAUAACAUUCCUGCAGCUUCUUGCGACGCCCAGCCGGAGGCGUGGAGCGGUGCACCGGCGCUUCCCUCACUUGCCUCCUGCAAGCCUUCGCGCCCUCUACUCCCUGGUAGCGUCUGCGGUUUCCCUGCAUUGGCGCACUUUCUUUUUCACCUGGAGUGUCUUUAACGCGGCAGCGGCGUUGUCAUCAGCCUGCGGUGGGUUGCGUGUGUGCGUGUGUGUGUGCGCGCAUAUUUAUUCUUCUUUCCUCUUUCUUGUUCCUUUCGCUUACGCCCCUCCCAUCUUUCCCCCAUCUGCACUACUCCGUCUUGCCCUCCCUCAGCCGGACCCUUUCUGCUGCCGACCUCCUCCGUCCCUCCCCCAUCGUCUUCCUCUUCUCUCUCUUUCGCCUUACUCUUCCCCCUCCCAUCCUCCGACACACACACACUGCUGGUCUCACCCCUCGCGCUUUCACUGGCCCAUAACGAGAACACCUUCCGCGCAUGCGACCGAGGACGCUGUCUGCGUGUGUGCGCGCCUCAUUCUUUACCACUCUCUCUCUCCCUUGGCUCUUUGCAUUGGCUUGUGUGCGUUUCUCGUUGAGUAUGCGUCGCUUCGUUCUCCCCUUUCUGCCCACCCACUCCCCCCCGCCCAUCUUCGGCUCGCGAGUGUACACCGGUCUUCCGCAGACAUCGUUCUGUGCCGAAUAUUCCCGUGCUUUCCUGUCCCUCUUUUGUUUUUGUUUUGCUGACAAGUCUGGUUCGUUGGCUUAGUCGUCGUCCACCCUUCCCUCCUUCCCCCUCCCUCCUCUCCUCCCUCUCGCGCUUUUUUGUCUGCGGUUUGCCUGCGCCUCGUUUUGGCGGCCACGUGUGAGCCAUCGCUCCAGUGCGCGUGUCUUUUUUGUUUUUUGUGCGUGGGCGUGGGCGUGCCUUUGCAGCUUUUUUUUUGUUUUGCUCUAUUCGUUGCUGUUGUUGUUGUUGUCGCUGCCGUGGUUGGUGUGGCCGAUUUUGCUUUGUGGUUUGUGUCCGAGGGAGCGUCUUUGGUUUGUCUUUCGUGGGUGGGAGGGCUGUGCAUGCCUCUGAUGAGACGCUGCUUGCUGCUGCUGCGUUUCGGUGUGUUUCCUUUUUUUUCCGUGUCUAACUACCUCCUCCUCCCUGCACGCAGGCGACGUUCUACGUGGAUCUCACAAUGGACACGGCACCGACUACUCUUUUCGUCGUGCUACACAACAAGCAGCGGUACGCCAUCCCGGUGAACGCCGCUGGCAUCCAAGUCGGUCCCCCAGUGCUCUAUCCAAAUCCAAAUCGCCGCAAGAGAGGCGGCUACGGGCCUGGCACCGUUGACGGGUCGUCACUGAGUCGGCCACCGCUCUCCUCGGUGUCGGAAAGCACAGAUAGCCGUCUCUCCUCCACUUCGGAGAGCACCACCCUGCAUAGGAGCAGUCGCUCUCGCAGCGACUGCUCCGUGUGCUUCACAGACGCACCGGCCGAAGACGUGAAUGACGGCGACCUCGUGCAGUUCUCGACGGCUGCGGCGCUGUGGCUGCAACUACCGCAGCCGUCGAUUCUGCGGAAGAGUAGCGGCCUUCUUCAUGCCUUGCCGCCGCUCUUCGACUUUGACUACAAGUCGCCGCACACCCCACGGCAGUCUCCGACGGAGCUGAAGCAACAUCUACCAGCCUCUUCAGUCAACUCCCAAGGCGACGAGAAGGGCGCGGAGAGCGCCAAGCAGGAGCACUGUUGCACUUUCUGUCCUCGAGUGUCGUCUGCAGCGGCGGUGGCACACCGUCACUUGUUCUCUCCGCCCGCUGCUCACCGCCCACCGAGCAAUAACAGCGAUCCCGCCUUGCGCUUCGUGAUGCACGGAGACAUCGGGGAUGCAGCGGCGGUGUCGCGGAUGGUGCAUCAGCUGCCGAUGUCCGAAGCCACACACGUAGAGCACUCGCUGGGUGGAGGUUCUGAGGCAACUGCCAAAGCAGCGCCAUCGACCCCGAAGCAGCCACCAGCUGUGAUGUCCAAGAGCACAGCAGCCUCUGCGCCCCGUCCGCCGCAGUCGUUAUUGGCAGCGUUGGAAGCCCGGUCGAUGCAAACAGUGGCAUCGGAUGGGCCCUAUGGUCCCACGCAUGCCUCUUACCGACGCAUUAUCCCAGAGUACCAGACUGACAAGGCAGAGGGGACGGCCUCACAGGGGAACGGCAGGGAUGAGGCGACCCCUACCGCGCCGACGGCUCGAAAGCCGCUGAAGCAUCCUCCCCGCAUCAAAGGCGAGAGCACCGCAAGAAUACCGCGCACGCAAGCGGCUGUGGUGGAAGACGAUAAGGCGAGCCGAAUCGCCUCGGACCUCACGCAAGGCUCGUACAGCAUCUACUGCAUGCCGUCACUAAACAUACUCACACCGACGAGCAGAGAGGACAACAGCUGCGACAUGAGCCUUCUACCUAUGCACGAUGCGGUGGCCGGCAAGGAGCCGAUCCACCGAGAGGUGCAGCUCUCUGAAAUGGAAUGCCUCAUGGACCGUUACUUCUACGGAGGACAGCCAUCGUCGGCCGCAGGUGAUGUGCGAUCUAUCAGUCCGUUGGACAACUACGAAGAGGGCAUGGAGAGCAGCGCCAUUUGGAAACCGCAGCCACCACACAUAGACGACAAGGCGACACCACAGUCGCAGCAGUCAACUGUUGUCCCGAAAGGCACACCAGAGAAUGUGCUGUCGUUGCCGAGGGACGCCGCGUAUGCAGACUACGAGUACGUGAACCCCUCUACCCCAAUCACUGUAAGCGUGUUUGCUGCGCCCUCACCUCUCUCCGUGGAGGGUUUCUCACGCACCUCACUCUACGGAGGUCAGCAUGCCGCAGCGCGCGCACUACCAUCGCGCGAGGCUCACAACUCGAUCAGGGAGAGGGGAAGGUAUGCAAUGCUGACUCUCCUGCGGCGUUUUGCCUCCACCGGACAUCUAAAACCUAAGCCUGCCGUCGCGGCGGAAGAGUCUACCGUGAGUGCCGACUUCGAAAGCAACGAGCACGGAAAGCCGAUGGUCAGCGAGUGGCCAAGCUCAACUGAAGCACUGACUUCGUUGACGACCGCAUCAUCGACUGACACAUCUUGCUCAGAAAAUGAGAGCCUCCGCUCGACCUCCGUGAGCGACUUCGAGGAGGAUGACGAGGACGCAGUCGAGAUGGUCAACUCUGUUGAAUCUCAAUCCCUCAGCAGUCCCGAGAAGAGUCCCUCGCCACCGCAGUCCUCGAAAGGCGUCAAGAAUGGGCAUCAGUGGCGAUGGUCGUCGAUUCGAGAGCGUCUGAUGCGGCCACUAAUACCGGUGCCGUCGGAUAUCAAAGAGCCGCGACUUCCGAGUUUGCAGAAGUGGUAUCGCGCCAAGAUCAAGGCUAAAGUGAAAGAGGCUCUUCAGAGUGGCCGUGCAAGCGACUCGAGCGCCACGCUUGAUCCCUUGUACCUGUACGACCGGCCCAAGAAGACCAUAAAGUGAGUCACUGUCCCAUAUCUGUCAAGGGGCGAAGUGGGGUUGCCACCAUGUGUUCACGCUCGUCCCUGUAUUUGCUCUCUUAUUUGUUCACUUGUAUAACGUGAAGCGCUGCAGCAGCGCAUGCGCGACUUUGCCAUUUUUGUUGUUGUCUGCUUUGGGGGGUUGCGUUGUGGUGCGUUUAUGUGCAUGCCAUGUCGAAACAAUUCUGUUGGCGUGUAUGCGCUUGUGUAUGCAUGUGUAUGUGUGCCUGUGUGGGCCUGUGCUCAUCUUUUUUUGUCCCCCCCCCGUCCCAUUCCGUCUGUGCCCUCCUUCCACAUUGCACUGCUGCCACCCUCUCUUGUUGCGUCUUGUACACGUGUGUAUGUGUAUGUGUGUGUUACACCACUUUUGGAUUUUCAGCGGUGCCCUCCUCUAUCUGUCUUUCCUAUCUCCCCCUCUUUCUUCGUCCCCCCCCCUUCCCCCUCUCCCGUCUAUGUGGGAAGGUCCUGUUGCUUGUUUCCGUUCUCUUCUCUUGCUUCUCGCCUAUGCGUGUGCUCGGCACGUGUGUCUCACAUUCUCGCCAUCUCGUCUCUCUCUCUCGUGUGUGUGUGUGCGCGCGCGUGUCCAGCAAAGCGAGAGAGCACAAUCAAUCAGCCAAACAGAAAGAGGACGGCACUGAAACCACAGCGUGUGGGCCACCCCCCCCGAUGUUCGCACGUCCACCACCACCACCACUCCACCCUCCUGUUCUCUUUUUGUCUGCUGCACUUUCUCCACGUGACUCUGUGUGGUGCCCUCCUUCUUUUUUUUUUAUUUGUGUUACCUUCUAUGACCCACACGGCGAGGGCGCACCUCCGUGCGUGCUAUCUCAGCGUCCACUGCGCCCACUCUCUGCGUGGGGCGGCCAGUCAGCCCACCCACCCCUCUAUCCCUGCAAAAUGUCGAGCCACUUCUGCCGGUCGCAUGGCCUAGUGCCUACGCCGUAGGGGAGGCCAGAGCAAUCUACCGCUGCUGAUGUCGGCGGUCAGGGCCUGGGUGGCGUUGCGUCGUAGCGGUCUGCGACAGUGAAGACGUAUGUGCCCCGUUUAUAUAAUAGGCAAAGUACCGACUUGGCUCCAGCGCGUCUCACCCGUCCCUCACACUGCCUGCUGGUGGAGGGAGGCUGAGCCACCCCGAGGGGGGAUGCGCCAGGUGGCGGCCAGCACAGUGGGCGCGGCUGUGAGGCGACCUACUCAGCGGGGGUGUGCAGAGCUCGAGGCAGGGGGUCGUGCUCUCAGAUGGCUGAGUUGGCACAUGGCUGUAACGCGUGUGUCUACGGAUGCUUCGCACCA
rnacentral:misc_RNA from 1 species